rnacentral:rRNA from 1 species
UACGGAGGGUGCGAGCGUUAAUCGGAAUUACUGGGCGUAAAGCGCACGCAGGCGGUUUGUUAAGCUAGAUAUGAAAGCCCCGGGCUCAACCUGGGAUGGUCAUUUAGAACUGGCAGACUAGAGUCUUGGAGAGGGGAGUGGAAUUCCAGGUGUAGCGGUGAAAUGCGUAGAUAUCUGGAGGAACAUCAGUGGCGAAGGCGACUCCCUGGCCAAAGACUGACGCUCAUGUGCGAAAGCGUGGGGAGCAANCAGG